GACGUAGGGCGCAAGCGUUUGUCCGGAUUUAUUGGGCGUAAAGAGCUCGUAGGCGGCUUGUCGCGUCGACUGUGAAAACCCGUGGCUCAACCAUGUGGUCUGCAGUCGAUACGGGCAGGCUAGAAUUCGGUAGGGGAGACUGGAAUUCCUGGUGUAGCGGUGAAAUGCGCAGAUAUCAGGAGGAACACCGGUGGCGAAGGCGGGUCUCUGGGCCGAUAUUGACGCUGAGGAACGAAAGCCAGGGGAGCAAACGGG
rnacentral:rRNA from 1 species